rnacentral:rRNA from 1 species
UACGUAGGGGGCGAGCGUUGUCCGGAGUUACUGGGCGUAAAGCGCACGCAGGCGGUCUGCUAAGCUUGGAGUGACAGUUGGUGGCUUAACUGCCAAAGUGCUUCGAAAACUGACAGACUUGAGGGCUUCAGAGGGACACGGAAUUCCGGGUGGAGUGGUGAAAUGCGUAGAGAUCCGGAGGAACACCAAAGGCGAAGGCAGUGUCC